UACGAAGGGGGCUAGCGUUGCUCGGAAUCACUGGGCGUAAAGCGCACGUAGGCGGAUUGUUAAGUCAGGGGUGAAAUCCUGGAGCUCAACUCCUGAACUGCCUUUGAUACUGGCGAUCUCGAGUCCGGGAGAGGUGAGUGGAACUGCGAGUGUAGAGGUGAAAUUCGUAGAUAUUCGCAAGAACACCAGUGGCGAAGGCGGCUCACUGGCCCGGUACUGACGCUGAGGUGCGAAAGCGUGGGGAGCAAACAGG
rnacentral:rRNA from 1 species